CUUAACUGAUCCUCAAACUGAUUUGAAUCCGACAUAUAGACGUAUAUAGUCAUAAUCAUCAAGCGCUUGCUCACCACGUUUCCGGUUUCAAAUUGGAACACGAUUUUCUCAAAAUGCUCCGAUUACCGCAAAAAGAUGGUGGUAAUGUUGAAGAAGAAAAGAAGAUGGCAAGCAUGAUGGUUCAACAAACAGUUGUAGCAUUCUUUGUUACGUGCGGGAUUCUGCGAGCGCUGCCAAAAGUGAUAGAAUACGUGCGGUCAUGAUGUCAAGACCAAGACAAGAACUGCUAUUAUUCGCUAUGUGAACAGCAUGGGACUCGAUUAUUGUUAUUGUGACUUGAAAACAGUUUAUGUGUGAAUCAUGAUGCUAUUUAAAGAAAAAGAAAUAGAAUAAAAUGAAUACUAGAGUCUAA